UUUUUUUUUUGGUUUUUCGAGACAGGGUUUCUCUGUAUAGUCUUGGCUGUCCCGGAACUCGCUUUGUAGACCAGGCUGGCCUCGAACUCAGAAAUCCGCCUGUCUCUGCCUCCCAAGUGCUGGGAUUAAAGGCGUGCGCCACCACGCCCGGCUUAUAAAUUGUUUUUGAUGUAGAUUUAUUUUAUGAGUCUUGCUCUGGAGCUCAAAGAAACAUAGAGUUAUUGCAAUUAAUUUCUUUCUUUCUUUCUUUCUUUCUUUCUUUCUUUCUUUCUUUCUUUCUUUCUUUCUUUCGAGAGACAGGUCUUACUCUGUCUUACUAUUUAGCCCUGGCUAGCUUCUAACAAUUAACUUGGAUAUCUUUGUAUAUUUGUGCUGCCCUGUUCUCCCAAAGUUAGCAGGCCUUUUCUUCUCUCUCUUUCUCUUUUUUUCUACUUUUUUCUUUUUUAUUCUGUUUUUUAAAGUUUUUAUGUAUUAUUUAUUAUAAAUAAGUACACUGUCACUGUCUUCGGGCACAACAGAAGAGGGCAUGAGAUCUCAUUAUGGGUGGUUGUGAACCACUAUGUGGUUUCUGGGAUUUGAACUCAGGACCUUUUGAAGAGCCAUCUCGCCAGCUCCUUUUUUCUUUUUCUUUUUAGUAAAUUAAUUUUCUAUUGAGACAGUGUUGCUAUGUAGUUCCAGCAGGCCAGGACUCCAUAUGCAGACCAAGCCAGCUUUGAACACCAGUGAUCAUAGAUGUGCCACCAUACCUGGUUCUACCCCUUUCAAAAGAUAGCUUUUCUGAUUGAUUUGUUUGUCAUCUUUAUUGACCAAUAGUUGAUCUCAAAACUACAUGCUUAUUUUUGUAGUGUUCCACAGUAGUCUCUUCCUUAUAUGUGGUUUCAUUUUCUCUCAUUUCAGUUUACCUAGUUAGCUAUGGUAUGAACAUAACUAAUUUCAUACCACAAGUCCAGAUUAAGUCCAGAAAUGUAUAAUCUAUGUUUCACUUUACAUUUCAUUUUGAAUAGUGUGGUUAAAUCUUGUCCCUUCUUGCUCUAGCAAUGGAUUAUCUAUUUAUCUCUGCCUUGUAGGUAGUUAGGAGACAUUUUAUAUAUUACAUUUUCUGUUGGAAUUAUGGUACUUGUGUGUAAGCCAUUUUUAUUUUAGUUGAUAAUGGUCCAGAAAGGUAAAGUUGGCAGUUUACACCAAAGGAAAACUCCAAAUUUACAGAUGAAUUUAGGUAAAAAGAUGAAAGUACAGUAAGGAACUUUCAGUGCUAUAGGCCACAUUAAUAUAACUUCAUAUUACUAUAGUUCUGUUUUUAUAGUCAGUUUGUUUGUUGGUUGGUUGGUUGGUUGGUUGGUUUUCUUUCUGUGACAGGGUAUCUCUGUGUAGCCUGGAACUUCCUCUGUAGACCAGGCUAGCCUUGAACUCAGAGAUGCAACAGUCUCUGCCACCACCACCCAGCCAUAGUCAGUAUCUUACAUGGUCUAAUUUAAAAGUUGAAGUUUUGGGGUCACAGAGAUGGUUCAGCAGCAGAAAGACUUGAUGCUUCUGCAAAGAACUCAGCUUCAGUUCUUAGCCACCUACAUAGCAGCUUACAGCCAUCUGAAACUCCAGUUUCCGGGUAUCUGAUGUCCUUUCUGACUUCACAGAUAGUAGAAACUUAGAUGUAUGCAGGCAAAACAUUCAACACAGAAUU
rnacentral:lncRNA from 1 species